UGGAACAUUAGCUCAGUAGGUAGAGCGUAUGGCACAUGUCCAAGCGGCGGUUCGAUUCCGCCAUGUUCCGU
rnacentral:tRNA from 1 species